CAGCCGCCACGGGAAUACGUAGGUGGCAAGCGUUGUCCGGAAUUAUUGGGCGUAAAGGGCUCGCAGGCGGUUUCUUAAGUCUGAUGUGAAAGCCCCCGGCUCAACCGGGGAGGGUCAUUGGAAACUGGGAAACUUGAGUGCAGAAGAGGAGAGUGAAAUUCCACGUGUAGCGGUGAAAUGCGUAGAGAUGUGGAGGAACACCAGUGGCGAAGGCGACUCUCUGGUCUGUAACUGACGCCGAGGAGCGAAAGCGUGGGGAGCGAACAGGAUUAGAUACCCCGUAGUCCCUGUCUCUUAUACA
rnacentral:rRNA from 1 species